ACGUAGGGUGCAAGCGUUGUUCGGAAUUACUGGGCGUAAAGGGCGCGUAGGCGGUUGGAUAAGUCAGCUGUGAAAACCACGGGCUUAACUCGUGGCCUGCAGUUGAGACUGUCUGGCUUGAGUGUGGGAGAGGAGAGUGGAAUUCCUGGUGUAGCGGUGAAAUGCGUAGAUAUCAGGUGGAACACCGGUGGCGAAGGCGCACAUCUGGCCCGAUACUGACGCUGAGGCGCGAAAGCUAGGGGAGCAAACGGGA
rnacentral:rRNA from 1 species